CGUUCCCGGGCCUUGUACACACCGCCCGUCACACCACGAAAGCUGGUUGAACCAGAAGCCGGUCACCCAACCCGCAAGGGGGGAGCCGUCCAAGGUUUGGCUAGUGAUUGGGGUG
rnacentral:rRNA from 1 species